rnacentral:rRNA from 1 species
AUAUGCCUGCCCAGUGAAAACUUUAAACGGCCGCGUUAGCGUGAGCGUGCUAAGGUAGCGUAAUAAAUAGCCUCUCAAUUGGAGGCCAGUGAAUGGCAAGACUAGGAACACCUGUACCUUAUACACCAAAAAAAUUUUUCGUCUAAGUGAAAAGACUUAGAUAAUAAAGGAAGACGAAAAGACCCCGCGGAACUUUACCUUCUCCCGCUCUUCCGCCCAGAAGCACAAAAGACCAAAGGUUUGAUUGGGGCAAUCUCGGAACCACCAAGCUUCCGAUUUUUAACAAAAACGAUUCAAAAUUUGAUAAAGACCAAAAAGAAGUUACCCCGGGGAUAACAGCGUAAUCCAACUUAAGAGUACACAUCGAAAGUUGGGUUUGCGACCUCGAUGUUGGCUUAAGGUUAUCCACACUAGUGCAACCGCUAUGACAGGACAGUCUGUUCGACUAUCAUACCCUUACAUGA